GGUGACGAGUGGCGGACGGGUGAGUAAUGUCUGGGAAACUGCCCGAUGGAGGGGGAUAACUACUGGAAACGGUAGCUAAUACCGCAUAAUGUCGCAAGACCAAAGAGGGGGACCUUCGGGCCUCUUGCCAUCGGAUGUGCCCAGAUGGGAUUAGCUAGUUGGUGAGGUAAUGGCUCACCAAGGCGACGAUCCCUAGCUGGUCUGAGAGGAUGACCAGCCACACUGGAACUGAGACACGGUCCAGACUCCUACGGGAGGCAGCAGUGGGGAAUAUUGCACAAUGGGCGCAAGCCUGAUGCAGCCAUGCCGCGUGUGUGAAGAAGGCCUUCGGGUUGUAAAGCACUUUCAGCGGGGAGGAAGGCAAUACGGUUAAUAACCGUGUUGAUUGACGUUACCCGCAGAAGAAGCACCGGCUAACUCCGUGCCAGCAGCCGCGGUAAUACGGAGGGUGCAAGCGUUAAUCGGAAUUACUGGGCGUAAAGCGCACGCAGGCGGUCUGUCAAGUCGGAUGUGAAAUCCCCGGGCUCAACCUGGGAACUGCAUUCGAAACUGGCAGGCUUGAGUCUUGUAGAGGGGGGUAGAAUUCCAGGUGUAGCGGUGAAAUGCGUAGAGAUCUGGAGGAAUACCGGUGGCGAAGGCG
rnacentral:rRNA from 1 species